UCGUUUCUUUCCCCGCGUGCCUGAGCCCUCAUCUCCGGUAGUUUCUUUUCUCUUCCCCAACGGACGCGCCGACGCUGCCCUCACGUCGAUUCCUCUCUUCCCCUCCGGUACAAAAGGAGGAGCCAAAGGAAGCCCUAGCCAUCUCCUCCACUACCACUUCCCCUCUUCCUCUCUUCUGUCGACGCCGACUUCAGUGCCGGGGCCAACUCCGAUCACCCCUCUACCUCUCCUCAAGCCUCGCCUUCUCUAUGCCCUAGCACCGAGCGCUGACCACCAAAUCUCUUCGGCGUGCCCUAGAUUGGGUCCAUAGUCGCCGAGCCCUAAGCCUCCGACGCCGAAGCCACAGGGGAACCGGUCGCGGUAGCCGACCCUUUUCGUCUCUGCCCUGCCCUAGAUCGCCGGCCGAUUUCUUCCUCUGCUCCAGCGCCGGCAUCUGAUUCCCUUCCAACUCUGGAUUUUCUUUGAUCUGUACCACUAGCAAAUCAGCGGUGAUAGGAGUGGAGACCAGCCCUCUCUCGACCUCUACUCAUCAAGCAACAUUAGUUUGCUCCGGCCACUGGUUUCCGACAUUGUUCGACAGCAGGUAUAUCCGACAGUGACUCAAUAGAUUGGGCAUUCAGAUUUGGGGAUGUGGGAAUUUUCCAUGGCAAUCUUGCUUCGGCUGAGGACAUCAAGGAAGAGUACAAGUGGAUUUCCAGCAGCUCACCCUUUCCAUCAGCAAGGUUUACCGGCAAGGAAUCAAUAAGGGAGCACUUGAAUUUGGAUGAGUUUUAGAGUGUUUGUGUAUAAGGCAAAACCAAAUUGGAAGGAUUCUGAUUCGGGAUGAGCACUUCGACAUAGAGGUUGAUUAGCUCAAUCUACAUUGGAGGUUGAGGCUGUUCAGGAGGUUCCAGUCGCUAGUCCCCCACCACUACGCGUCGCGACGAGUUCGCACAUUUCGGUUUUCCUAUUAUGUUAGACUAUGUUUUCAGACUUGUAGCUUUUGGCAUUUGGAUCUUAUACAUUUUGUUAUUUGUCGAUGGGUUUUCAUUUGUAUGUAUGCUGGAAUUUUGUGUUUUAUGGGUGUAGUUGAGUAGGAUAUCGGUUUUAUGUUUUAUGGGUGUAGUUGAGUAGGAUAUUGGAUUUGUGUUUUAUGGGUGUAGUUUAGUAGGAUUUUUGCGAUGAUUUCCUUAUAUUUGCUUUA